GUAUAAAGAGAUAAGAGUGAGCCCCUAUGCAUCAGCAAAAUUCGCGUUUAUGGGUGCUUGAUAUUGCUGAUGGAUGAGCUCCAUUUCGAGAAUUCGCCGAGUGGUGUUUUGUGCCAAAAUAUGUUGACAAUGUUACGGCAUUCAGUAAAGUUGAUUUGCACAGCAAACGACGUGGACGCUCGAGCGAUUGGACGGCACAUGCGCUGAAUGGGAACUGAGGGGUUCAUUUUGCACUUGGUUCCUUUGCGGACUACUACGCUGGGCAAAGAAGUUGCCAACACGAUCGAUGUCAUAAUUUACAAAUAAAUGAUUAUCUUCAUUUAA